rnacentral:rRNA from 1 species
CCUACGGGGGGCUGCAGUCGAGAAUCUUCGGCAAUGGGCGCAAGCCUGACCGAGCGAUGCCGCGUGCGGGAUGAAGGCCUUCGGGUUGUAAACCGCUGUCAGAGGGGAUGAAAUACGUCGGGGGUUCUCCCCCGGGUUUGACAUAUCCUCAGAGGAAGGACGGGCUAAGUUCGUGCCAGCAGCCGCGGUAAGACGAACCGUCCAAACGUUGGGCGGAAUGAGUGCGCUGAAAGGGUGCGAAGGUGGGUUUGAAAUACCUCGGCUCAACCGAGGAACAGCGCUCAAAACUGUCAGGCUUGAGGGAGAUAGAGGUGAGCGGAACUUAAGGUGGAGCGGUGAAAUGCGUUGAUAUCUUAAGGAACACCCGUGGCGAAAGCGGCUCACUGGAUCUCUUCUGACGCUCAUGCACGAAAGCUAGGGGAGCAAACGGGAUUAGAUACCCUAGUAGUC